ACAAUAAUAUCUAAUAAGAUAGUAAAACGUUGUCGCCGUAAGUCCAAGGUUUUUGAGGGAAGUCUAAUACUCCUUGAAGAAUGAAUAAUUCAAAAUAAAACGGUCCCUAAGAGAAUAGUGAAAACUUUGAUUCGAUGGGUUGAUUUUAAUUUUUAAAUCUGUUAUUGGAAGAUGACGAGUUUUGUAAAUUAUACAUAUUUUUUUAAUUAAAAAAUGGUUUUUGAAAAGCUCCAGGAAAAAGUCCCAAAAACAAACCGUACUGUAAACCGACACAGGUGGACGAGUCGAGUAGACUCAGGCGUUUGAGAUAACUAUGUUAAAGGAACUCGGCAAAUUGGCUCCGUAACUUCGGGAGAAGGAG
rnacentral:rRNA from 1 species